rnacentral:rRNA from 1 species
CCUACGGGAGGCAGCAGUGAGGAAUAUUGGUCAAUGGCCGGAAGGCUGAACCAGCCAUGCCGCGUGAAGGUCAGUGCCCUAUGGGCGUUAAACUUCUUUUGUGCGGGAGCAAUAAUGGUCACGUGUGGCCAGACGAGAGUACCGUACGAAUAAGCAUCGGCUAACUCCGUGCCAGCAGCCGCGGUAAUACGGGGGAUGCAAGCGUUAGCGUGAUUUAGUGGGUUUAAAGGGUGCGUACGCUGGGAGGUAAGGCAGCGGGGAAAUGCCCCGGCCCAACGGGGUGAAGGGCCAUUGAUACUGGCUUGCUGGAAUGCGGAUGCCGUGGGAGGAAUGUGUGGUGUAGGGGUGAAAUGCAUAGAUAUCACGCAGAACACCGAUUGCGAAGGCAUCUAACGAAUCCGCGAUUGACGCUGAUGCACGAAAGCGUGGGUAUCAAACAGGAUUAGAUACCCUUGUAGUC